GCCCGGUUAGCUCAGUCGGUAGAGCAUGAGACUCUUAAUCUCAGGGUCGUGGGUUUGAGCCCCACAUUGGGCG
rnacentral:tRNA from 1 species